rnacentral:rRNA from 1 species
CCUACGGGAGGCAGCAGUAGGGAAUCUUCCACAAUGGGCGAAAGCCUGAUGGAGCAACGCCGCGUGGGUGAAGAAGGUCUUCGGAUCGUAAAACCCUGUUGUUAGAGAAGAAAGUGCGUGAGAGUAACUGUUCACGUUUCGACGGUAUCUAACCAGAAAGCCACGGCUAACUACGUGCCAGCAGCCGCGGUAAUACGUAGGUGGCAAGCGUUAUCCGGAUUUAUUGGGCGUAAAGGGAACGCAGGCGGUCUUUUAAGUCUGAUGUGAAAGCCUUCGGCUUAACCGGAGUAGUGCAUUGGAAACUGGGAGACUUGAGAGCAGAAGAGGAGAGUGGAACGCCAUGUGUAGCGGUGAAAUGCGUAGAUAUAUGGAAGAACACCAGUGGCGAAAGCGGCUCUCUGAUCUGUAACUGACGCUGAGGUUCGAAAGCGUGGGUAGCAAACAGGAUUAGAUACCCGAGUAGUC